UCUCACUCUCUCACUUCCACCUCUCCACCAUCCGUCACUCCCUCGACUCCCUCGACUUUGACGACAUCCCAGAGAAUGCCCAUCACCGCUGCCGUGACCAACACAACAACACCACCACCACCCAUCUAGCCAUCCUCCGACCUCGACAACAUUCGUUACUUCGCCGGCUACUACGUUUUUGGUGCGGUAGCUGAGUUUUUUUGCCCUUUUCUUGGGAAGAACAAACACACUCAAUCAGAUUGUUGGCUGCAUACUCGUAGCUACAGGUGUAGCAGCGGCUGUUUCAAGGUUGAGCCAUUGAGGAAUUGACUUCUCUUGUCAAAGACAAUCUUACUUGCAAGCAUCUUAUUCUCUCAAUGGAAGAGUCCUUGGUGGACUUCCUUCAGAGUUAUACCAGGCAUGUAAGACAAACUCCUAAGUGGUAUUACCGUAUUAGCAUUGCCAUUUCUUAUGAGAUUAAUUUUAGAAUAAAAUAUUAAAAUUAUAUGGAGCAGGAGUGAUGCAAUUCCUUAUAGAUUCAAUGAGGAAUGUUGUUGGAUGGACUUCGGAAUUUAGAUGUCUUGGACUCUCAGAUAUUUUGUAUGUUGAUUUGAUCUUUAGAUGUCUCUCGGAUGUUAUUUUGAAUGUCUCGAAUUUAAUGUAUCGAACGAGGUUGGACUUUGUAUUUGGAUUUGAAUCUGUGCAAAUCUGUGCAAAUGUGAAUGAGUGAAUUUGCUGAGGCCUGGGAAUGAA